CAUUGCUCCUUAACACACGGAGCCGCCGCUAGGGAACAGAUAUGUUGAGGGUUCGUUAAAAAAAAUAACAAUACAAUCCGACUCCACGCCGAUUUUCUCCUUGUCUUCAAGGAAAAGUCCUCAGCACACAUACGGCAGAGGGGGGCUCUGAGCGAGGUGGCCAAAGAUGACGGCCGUAGGUGGCGGCGUUCUCUCGGAAAUCGCAGCACAGAUGGCCAAAACCGGUCAAGAACAGACUUUUAGCAAUAUAGAUAUUUUGUUAGCUAAUGGUAACAGAACAGAAGCAGAAUGAUAAAGCAGCCAAUUAACCUAUCGAUCCGCACGUCUUUGGAAUGUGGAAGGAAACCGAAGCGCCUGGAGAAAACCCACAUGGUCACAGGGAGAACGUGCAAACUCUGCACAGAAAGCACCCGCAGUCAGGAUCAAAUCCAGGUCUCUGGUGCCGUAAGGCAGCAACUCCACCACUGCACCACUGUGCUGCCUUAACUGUGAAAUACAUUACACAUUAAAGAUACUUAA